rnacentral:lncRNA from 12 species
GGCACCCGCAGCAUCCCUGGGGGCUGUGGAGGGGGCGUCCUGCAGCCCAGGGCGGCCCCGUGGGCAGGGAGGGACAGUCCCCUUCCACCAAGGGUCGCGCGAGCGCCCAGGAGGCCCGAGCUGGAUGGCGGGUGUGCCUGCUCCUCUGCAGCAGCCAGAGCAAUCGCCCCCAAGCCCUCGGGAGGUCCCGUCUGCCAGGCGCCAACUUGGUGGGGCCCGGGAAGAUACCUGCCUGGCGCGUGGCAGGGCGUGAGCUCUGGGGCCAAGGGUCGGCUGUGGCAGGGCCCGGCCACGGGUGGUCCGGGCCCGGGAGGGCGCUGGGCAGCCCAGGGGCGGAGCCGGGAUCAGCCUCAGGUGCGUGGCUCGCACAGGUGCGCGGUCAGCCAUGGGGAAAGGGAGCCCUGGCUCUGGGGCAGCCCCUGCAGUACCCCCCGCAAUCUCCCUGAGGCCUCGCCGCCUCCCCGUGCCCUGCAGAGGCCCCUUACCGGGAGACUGUCUCCCGCCAGCACACGCGGGGCUCUGGGGGACGCACAGCUCCCCUCGGGGUCCGGGCUGUUCGCCCAGCGUUGGCGGAGCCUCGCGGCGCCAUCCACUCCGAGGUUGGCCGGGGGGACGCAGGGGUGCAGCCCCCUGGGCCAUGGCGGGGUGGCUGUGCGAUGGUGGGGAGGCCGGGCAGGGGCUGAGCAGGGCGGCCUGGGGGGCAUAGAGUCAGGGCGAUGGGGAGGCCGGAACGGGCAGACCUCUGGGGCUCAGCAGCCUAGGGCGCCGCUCAAGGGCCCCGCAGUGCAGCCCCAGCCCAGGAAUGUGGGUGUUGCGGCCGCCCCCAAGGUCCCCAGCCGCGCAGAGAGCCCCCCUUCCCGGCCUGUGGGCGCCGCGGGUCCCAGCCAGCAGGCGGCACUGCAGGACAGUCGGGCGGCUCGAGGGCGUCCGGGCGCCUCCGGCGGCGGGUUCGGGUCUCACUGCUGCCGGGAGGGCAGCACUCUGGGAAGGAGCCCACGGGGACCGCUGGCUCCCUUGCCGUUUACCUUGGCACGGGUGUCUGAUGCAGGCAGAGCUGCUCCCCGGGCCCAACCCACCCCCUCAGCGUCGCCUCUGGCCUCCCCUGCAGUGUCCCCAGGCGCCCUGGUGAGAGGUGGGCUCUGCAGGGGACAGCAGGCUCUAGGGGCCCUGCUGCAGCUUCCGUGUACAGGGAAGCCUCCCACCCCUGCAGCCUGGCCAGGGCCUGCUGCCCCACUGCCACCGGCCUGCCUGAGCCACUCUGUCCUGGGGGGACCCUGCCACAGCUGGGGACAGGGCUGGCUGGGCAGGAAGUCAGCCCACGCUAGGCCCCCGGGGGGGGCAGUGCAGGGGCAGGCAGUCCUCACCUGACUCCACCCCCUGCCACUCUGCCCCCAUGCUGCCCUCGGGACUUACAUCAAGCCCCACAUGGGGUACGUAGGGUACCAUGGGGUAAAGGGGGGUGUUGCUUCCAUCUCACUCAUCUGCACACAGGAGACGACAGGUGCGCUCGGGGUUGCCAGAGCCCCUGAGGAGCACCAGGAAGGGCUGUGGACAGCAGGUGCCCCACCGGCCCACAUCCCACAGGAUCCCAGUGAGGAGCCUGAGAGCCCGGGGGUGCGGGCGCCACAGACCCCAGGGCCACCCGGCACUGAGCCCCAGAUUAGAGGUGGGAGCAGUGGGAGGUGGGCGGGGGCGUGGCUGGAGGCCGUGGGAGCCGCGCGGCCAGGCGGGCAGGCCCAGGGUGGGCGUCGGGGCCGUGGCAAGGGUGCUGGCCAGCAGCAGGGGUGGGGGAGUCAGAGGCCCAGCCCUGGCCCAAGCACCUCAGUGAGCCUGGGCCAACGCCGCGGUGGAGCCAGGGAGGCCAGGCCAGGAGGAGCCAGCUUGGGAGGAGAAAGGAGCACCGCUCCCAGACGUCCUGGGCAGGGCAGACCGACAGACCAGAGGCGGGCGCAGGCCUCAGACAGAACCCGGUGGGCCCAGGAUCCUGGACGCUGAAACACAGGGCUGGGGGGGCGUCCGCGGCGAGGAAGGGAUCGGGAAGGGUCGCGACGAGGGUUCCCCCGGAACGGGCAGGGAUGCUGUGCCCACAGCCCUGUCGGGGUAGAGGUGGGGGAGGAGGGACCGCAUGAUCCAGUUUCCUCAAAGGAUAAAAUAGAGAAGGGGGACCUUCUGGGGAAUCAAAGUCCAAAGAUUUGCCUAAAUUACAGACCUAGGCCUCAGGCGGAGAGGGCCUUCAGGGGGCAGCGGGGAUGGCAUUCGGGAAUGGCCCACGCACCCCCAUCUCCCUCGCCACCCCGGGUCACGCAGACCCCACUCCUCCAUCCUUCCCGCCUCUAGCCCCCACUCUUCCUCCCGACCCCCCAUGCACCUCCUCCCACUUGGAUGUUCCGAAGCAAACCCUCGGUGUCGCUCCACAUUUCAGUUUGUAUCGCUACGAGACGGUUUCCCAGAGAGUGACUAUAGUGGCAUCGGCACACUGGUGCCCAGUCAGGGUUCCCGGCUCCCAGACGGCUGGUCUGAGGAGGGCCCGCACACGCCUAUCACUGUGGCUGUUUGAUACGCCUCUCGAACCUCCGUAUCCUCAGGCUCUCCCUCCUGCUCGAAGAGACCCAGCUGUCGUGCGCGUGUCCCGGACCCCAUAUCUGCUGUAGGCCACUUGUUGAGUGCGGGCUUGGCCAGUGUGGCAGUGUCCCUCAACAGUGGUGUUCUCCUGUUGGGAGGUGCGUGGUCUCUGGUUCUUGUUUUAUUCUAUGUUUUUAUUGUAGUAAAAUAUACGUAACAUAGAAUUGACCAUUAUAACCUUUUUGAAUAGCGUCACGAAGGACAAAGAGGAAUACCAGUACUUGUGAGACGACUAGCAGAUCAGAAAAAUACAACAUGUAUGCAACCACAAACAGAGCUUCAGAAGACAGAAAGCCACUGGUGACCAGUGGCGCCCUCCCGCUCCUCCCUGCACGCUGACCGCUCCAGCAUCCAUAAGCAAAGAUGGAAACAAUUGGGAUGAUGUGAUAAAUAGAGGCACUCUGUUUUCUAGGACAAACAGGGUGAUUCUCCAAAUCACUGUUUUUUGGGUCCCCAAAGAGGCCUCAGGACGCCUUCAGGAGUGGAAGCGGCUGCAGGAGAGGUAAGCAGGCGGGCAGUGGAGUGAUGCCCCCCUUGCUCCGCGACGCAGAAAGUGGCUCCGACCUAGAAUUCCAUACCCAGCCCAACCGUCCUUGUGUAUGAAGGGAAAUAAAGACAUUUCCAGACACA